ensembl:lncRNA
AAACUUUGUUGCUGCACAUGAACUUUGUAGGUGUUGUGUUGAUCAGAUUAAAGACUGAAACAGAAAGUACUUUUUACUGCUGAUGGUGUUUAUUAAAUGUGUUCACUGUACUCUGGAAUUGUGACCUUGUACAUUUAUUUAUUUCACAGACUUUAUCUUCAUUAUUGACAGACAGGCUGAAAGACACCUCUCCACAUGUUAGCAGAGAAGGUAGUUACAUAAAAAACAAACAAAGAAACUGUCAUACAUCUGUCACUUUGUUUUAUGUCUUGUAGUCCCACCUAUGGAAUGAGCAGAUAAGAAAGGAAUGUGGUUGCUAAGGAGUUGUUGCUAUGGACACUGCUGUCAUACAGGUGCAGGGUGUGGGCUGUAGAAAACAGGAUGACAUGGAAAUACAGGAAAGCAGACAGGUAUACCAAAGCUACACUUUCUAGAUUUUAGUGGAUUUUAUUUUUUUGUUUUUUUAUCAUGAUGGUCAGACGUCUCUUUGAGGAUUUUGGAGAUCUCUUCAGAACAACAGUAACAGUAAGUGCUGACACCUUUCAGUUUUUUAGCUCAACAAACUGACACUGUACAGGAAGUGCUGCAGCACACACACACAAACGUCCUGCAGACUAUUUGCUGCUGCUCGUCUUUUCCAUGUUUUCUCUGUUUCUGCUGCUUCUUUGUCCUCACUGUAAACAGAUGUACUGAGAGACUCCUGCACUGAUGUUUCAUAGGAAAGUCCAAACAGCCUCACUGGUUCUCCAUAAAGAACAAAGAUUUGC